UACGGGGGGGGCAAGCGUUGUUCGGAAUUACUGGGCGUAAAGGGCUCGUAGGCGGCCAACUAAGUCAGACGUGAAAUCCCUCGGCUUAACCGGGGAACUGCAUCUGAUACUGGAUGGCUUGAGUUUGGGAGAGGGAUGCGGAAUUCCUGGUGUAGCGGUGAAAUGCGUAGAUAUCAGGAGGAACACCGGUGGCGAAGGCGGCUACCUGGACAGAGUCUGACGCUGAGGCACGAAAGCUAGGGGAGCAAACAGG
rnacentral:rRNA from 1 species